GGAUGUGAGGGUGAUCUGGCUGUGACAUCUGUCACCCCAUUGAUUGCCAGGGUUGAUUUGGCUGAUCUGGCUGGCUAGGCGGGUGUCCCCUUUCUCCCUCACCGCUCCAUGUGCGUCCUUCCCAAAGCUGUGCGCUCAGAAGAGGAAGGCCUUCCCCAAUAGAGAUGGACCAGUCUUUGGUCAAGGGUAUAUGAGUAGCUGCGCUCCCCUGCUAGAACCUCCAAACAAGCUCCCAAAAGAGGAUCCAGUACUAUGGUUGGUCUGUCUAUAUCUAUCUAUCUGUCUAU
rnacentral:snRNA from 1 species